AACUUAAUAAUUACAACUUUCAACAACGGAUCUCUUGGUUCUGGCAUCGAUGAAGAACGCAGCGAAAUGCGAUAAGUAGUGUGAAUUGCAGAAUUCAGUGAAUCAUCGAAUCUUUGAACGCACAUUGCGCCCCUUGGUAUUCCAUGGGGCAUGCCUGUUCGAGCG
rnacentral:rRNA from 1 species